AGAGUUUGAUCCUGGCUCAGGAUGAACGCUAGCUACAGGCUUAACACAUGCAAGUCGAGGGGCAGCAUGGUCUUAGCUUGCUAAGGCCGAUGGCGACCGGCGCACGGGUGAGUAACACGUAUCCAACCUGCCGUCUACUCUUGGACAGCCUUCUGAAAGGAAGAUUAAUACAAGAUGGCAUCAUGAGUCCGCAUGUUCACAUGAUUAAAGGUAUUCCGGUAGACGAUGGGGAUGCGUUCCAUUAGAUAGUAGGCGGGGUAACGGCCCACCUAGUCUUCGAUGGAUAGGGGUUCUGAGAGGAAGGUCCCCCACAUUGGAACUGAGACACGGUCCAAACUCCUACGGGAGGCAGCAGUGAGGAAUAUUGGUCAAUGGGCGAGAGCCUGAACCAGCCAAGUAGCGUGAAGGAUGACUGCCCUAUGGGUUGUAAACUUCUUUUAUAAAGGAAUAAAGUCGGGUAUGUAUACCCGUUUGCAUGUACUUUAUGAAUAAGGAUCGGCUAACUCCGUGCCAGCAGCCGCGGUAAUACGGAGGAUCCGAGCGUUAUCCGGAUUUAUUGGGUUUAAAGGGAGCGUAGAUGGAUGUUUAAGUCAGUUGUGAAAGUUUGCGGCUCAACCGUAAAAUUGCAGUUGAUACUGGAUAUCUUGAGUGCAGUUGAGGCAGGCGGAAUUCGUGGUGUAGCGGUGAAAUGCUUAGAUAUCACGAAGAACUCCGAUUGCGAAGGCAGCCUGCUAAGCUGCAACUGACAUUGAGGCUCGAAAGUGUGGGUAUCAAACAGGAUUAGAUACCCUGGUAGUCCACACGGUAAACGAUGAAUACUCGCUGUUUGCGAUAUACAGCAAGCGGCCAAGCGAAAGCGUUAAGUAUUCCACCUGGGGAGUACGCCGGCAACGGUGAAACUCAAAGGAAUUGACGGGGGCCCG
rnacentral:rRNA from 1 species